GUUGGUGACACAUCCUUUGAUCUGCCAGAAGCAAAUGUCCUCAUUCAGAUCUCUUCCCAUGGUGGCUCCAGACGGCAGGAGGCGCAGAGACUGGGGCGGGUACUCAGAGCCAAGAAAGGUAACGGUGCCUUCCUCUGCUGCCACAGGCUGGGCCUGCCUCCCACAGCCUCCCAGCACUGGACAUGAGUCCAGUCAUAGCCUGCUCUGUCCAGAGUUAGGGAGACCUUGGUGGGAAGGUGAUGAUCCCUUCUCAUGCCACGGGGUCCAUGUUCUCCAUGGUCACUUUGAGUGACAG
rnacentral:lncRNA from 1 species